AGAGACAAACUGAAGGGCGGGUGGCUGCACGGCUGCACACAACGCGCAGCCGUCCAUCUCGCUCUCUCCCUCUCUCUGUCUGUGUGCGUGCGCGGGCGCUCUGCCUCACCCUCCAUAACUCGCAGCGAGCGAACAUCGCUUCUCAUCCUCGUCUGCCUCGCCCCGUCUGUCGCGCGCCCCUCCCCACUCCCUCUUCCCAAGGAGCCCUCCCCAAGCUUCACUCUCCCUCCUUCUCACGGGCGCGCAGACCAUAUACGCACAAACCAACGCGCAUGUCGGACCCUCGAGUUCGUCGCCCGCGAUGGCGGUCGCAUGCGUGCCAUGCCGUGUAUGCGAAAGAUGCGGAGGAAGAGGAUUAUGCACAUGUAGAGGAGCCACAGCAUCAGCGUGGUCCACUUACUCAUGCCUCUGUCCUUCUCGCGGCCGCAUCACGCAAGCCGUCUCCAGCUCCAACGCGCAUGCCGAAAAUGGCCUCUGCAACCUCCAGCUCCGCUAGCGCAGCAUCGCCAGCCGAUGACGCGAACGGGCUCGCUAGCUGCGGGCCCCUUCGACCGCCGCCGGUUUUCUGCGAAGGCAAGGGCGAGGCAGCAGGUCAUCUCGCGCAUCCUUGUAGGAGGCGCAUGCGGCAUCCUCGCCAGUCCUCCACCCCCGUCUCCUCACGCUCCAGCAGCCACUCCCCGCACAUCGCCUCUGCUCACUUGGGCGCACAACAACUUCAGCCUAGCGAGCACGGAAACAACAGUGCUAAGGUGCCCGUCAUUCAUUGGCGUGCGGCAUCUGCGCUGACGAGCGCGCCGACAGAGCUGUGGUCAGACGGCGUUGCGCUCGGUGCCCGCCAGUGCAGCGAUGACCAAGAACGCCACCAGACAGUCGCCACGGGCGGCUCCGCGGUGCUGGAGCACUACCACGUUCUCGAGCUGGAAGAGCAGCUGCAAUAUUGGAGGCAGCGGGCGCUGCAGGUGGAGAAUCGGGCUCUGCGGCGCGAGCGAGCGCUCCAGGCACGGUGGGAGGCGGAGUUUGCCGCCGCGCAAGUCUCGUCGGAGACGCUCACGCGGAAGCUGCUCGACAAGCUGCGCCGCCUUCAAAAGCAGCUGAAUCCUCGGAAGAGAGCAGUGCAGCAGACGGAGGGGCAGGAACAGCAGUCGAGAAGUAGCAGUGCAUCGACAGACUCUACCUCCACAACUCCGAACUUGUCCACCCCCGGCGACAGCGGCCACCACUGCGGCGGUGAGAGCGAAGGUACCUGCAGCAUCCCAAGAGGCUGUGGCACGAACAGCGUGGCCUACCCGCGUCGUUGUGCCUCUGAGUGGGCAGAGGAGAACGCGUCACUGCUAAACUCCCCCGCUGGGCAGCUACGGGAACAGCAGCAGCCGAACCGCAGCCGCAGUGCUGCAAAUGCCGCAGAGAGCUGCGCCACGUCCAAUGAAAAGUCUCGCGCAACGCUCCAGGCGAGCCUCCGCGAUCUCUGCCGUGCCGUGCUUCGCUGCUUGUCGCGCAGCUCGCUGCUGCGCGAGUAUGGUGCGGUGCUGUGCGGGAACUGCUCCCACAAUACCCACACGACUAACGACGAUGAUCCCGAGGAACCGGAAACAGCGCGUGUGGCUCAGGCCCUCCUGGACGCGUCACGUGGACGGAAAGCGAGCGAUUCACCUUCGUCAUGGUCACUGGCACGCCCGCUGCUGGCGCUGCAAAGUGCGCUCGAGCACCUCGACACAGUGCUUCGUGCUUGUGUGGACGACGUGGUCUUCGCCAGCAGCGGGCUCACAUCAACCCCCGCUGCCGCCUAUGCGCGGCAUCCGCAGCGGCAGCCACCAGGAGAUGAGCACCGCAGCGCAGACCUUGAAGCGCAGCUCCGACAGGCCCGCGCUGCUCUUUUCCAAGAGCAGCAGCGUCGUGCCGCUGUACAGUCGGCCUUGGACGCCGCGAUGCACGACAUGCGGGAUCUUGCGCAGGCGCAGCAGGACAACGUCUCGCAACUCAAGAUCGAAGCGCGUGCCGCGGCGGAGCAAGCGCAGCAAGAGUACCGUGCAAAUCUCGAGCGCACCCGAGCAACACUAGAAUGCGACGUCGUCGCGGCAACCCGUCGUGCCAGCGCGGCUGAGCAUCAGUCCAUGCUGCGCGCUCAACGAGAGGCGCACUGGCAGGCGCGGCUCUACGCGUUGAAAGACGAGCGCGACGGCUAUGCACGGGAAUGCGCUCUGCUGAAGACCCAGCUGGCGCUCCUCCAGCAAGCUCGCAACGCAACGGCAGCGGAGCGGGCGGGACAGCAGCAGGAGGGCGUCGACAAAGCCGUGUUGUCGGUGGGGCCAAGGGAUGGAGCGGAAGCGAAACCAGCGACAGCGGCGGCGUCCGCGUUGGUGGUGCCGCCGGUCGACAGCUCACCUGCGCCGCGCGUCACGUGGGCUGACGCACAGAUGGAUCGACUGACAACCAUCGGCCAGCCCAGCGGGUUCGCUGCCCCGUCAUCGGUGUGUCGCAGCCCCAGCCGAUCACUGAGCUACUCGCCUUCGCCGAGUACGGAUAAGGCACUAAGGCAUGCACCCGGAGCACGCGCAGACGAAACUGCACGGGUCCACGGUGCGCAGCUGACAAGCAGCGCCAUCACAGCGACGUCUGGUGUGCCGCGGCUGCCGUCGGCCUUUCCCAGCUCCCUCAUGGUCGUUGUACAGCCGUCGGUGCUUGCGGCGCCAGAGGGCGAUGGCGAUGCUGAGGUGAUCGCGCUGGCGCAGCGACCCUACGGCGACGACAACAGUGCGGCAAGGGACAAGGCUGGCGUACCUGUCGACAGCGAGGCACUGGAGCAGGCUCACUUCACCCCCUGGCACGCACCAUCGAGGCAGCAUACCUCCACGGCCGUUGAUGCGGCUGUCGUCGGCACACCGUUGGCGAGGAUGAGGGCUUGGGAAGAAAAGUUCAAGGCCAUCUUGAACUAUGCGUGAAGCUGGGGGGAGGGGGGGGGCGCCAGCGACUCAUCGCGCUCUGCGCCUCUCGUCUGUGAUGGUGCACGCGCAUAUCUGUGCGCAUGAGGCGUCGCUGUGGAGGGUGCCCUUGAUGCGAGGAGAAGGGAGGGAAGUCCCCACCCCUCGGUGGUGAGAGCACGCGCAUUCGGCUGUAGAGAGUCCGUGAUACCCCUCCCACCCACCCCCGCUCUGCCGCGGUACGCCCUCCAGGCACUGUGACUUGCACGCUGGUACACCGCUCCACCGGCAUGCCAGAGGACUCUGUGGGUACGUGGGUCAUAUCGUUGGCUGCAGAUGGCUCCACCUUCCUUACCGCAUGCCGCACACAUACGCGCGGCGAAACAGCAAGGGAGAAGGAGCGCAGCCAUUGGCGCCCAGCGAGCACACCUGUCUGCCUGUCGCGGCUCUCUUCACUGCACUUCUCCCUCCUCCCUCCCUCAAUGAUUGACCUGCGGCAACUCUCUGACUCGUAAG
rnacentral:misc_RNA from 1 species